rnacentral:rRNA from 1 species
UACGUAGGGGGCAAGCGUUGUCCGGAAUUAUUGGGCGUAAAGCGCGCGCAGGCGGUUCUUUUAAGUCUGGUGUCUAAGUGCGGGGCUCAACCCCGUGAUGCACUGGAAACUGGAGAACUUGAGUGCAGAAGAGGAGAGCGGAAUUCCACGUGUAGCGGUGAAAUGCGUAGAGAUGUGGAGGAACACCAGUGGCGAAGGCGGCUCUCUGGACUGUAACUGACGCUGAGGCGCGACAGCGUGGGGAGCAAACAGG